AAAGCGGUUGGAGAAGACGGCGUGCUUUACCUGCAAGAGGAUACAUAGAAAACUAUGGCGUGGACACACUUGGAGUACUGCGUACAAUUCUGGUCACCACAUCUAAAGAAGGACAUUGUAGAACUGGAAAAGGUGCAGAAGAGGGCAACCAAGAUGAUCAGGGGCCUAGAGCACCUUUCUUAUGAGAUAAACUGACGAGAAGUAUUCUACAUGUGAUUAAAGCUGAUUCUGGAGCACAAUUUUUCUUUCUCCAGCUGUGAGAGCACAUUGUGACAAUCCUGCAUUAGUAAAGGGAGAAUGGAGGCCCAAGAAACGUCUGAGAAAGAUCAGCUGAGCCAGAAAUAUUCCUACCCUGACAGUGACCCUGAGCAAGGGGAGAAAGCUGAGAUGUUACAAACUGCUGAACUUGUAGAAGACAACAGUGUGCGGAAUUUGACUGCUGAAGCCGAGAAGGAAAUGAGUGAAACAUUAUGGAGAAGAACAUCUCCUAUGAAAAAAGACCUGACUUCCUCACUGGGUGGCGAACUAUGUCCCCCAACAGCAGAUUCCCACAAAAAGGGGCUUCAAAGAAACUUCACAUCAUCUCUAAGUAGCUGUGGUGGAUUUCUCCAAGACACAUCACAUCCAUCCCCUCCUGCAGCAUACAACAAGAUCUGCAAACACCUGUCAACUAAAGAUGCUUUCAUAGCUGUGUGUGUCAUUGUUCUUAUGGCUGCUGCCAUUACUGGCUUUGUAUUGCUAAGAGCAGAAAAAUACAAGCAGACCAGCCUUGCUUUGGCUUCCUCUAAGCACUGUGGUCCUUCAUGUCCACGUCAUUGGAUUGGAUAUGAGGGAAAGUGCUACUAUUUUUCAAAGGAAAAACGGAGUUGGACCUCCAGCCAGGAGUUCUGUGCUUCACACAACGCUUCCCUGACUAGGAUCGAAAGCGAAGAACAGGCUUUAGUUGAAAACCUGAAAGGUAAAGAUGCCUAUUGGAUUGGCCUCAGGAGAGAUCCAAAUCAACCCUGGAAAUGGUCAAAUGGAGACAAUGCAACGGCAAAGCUUACUAAGUCAUGGCUUCACAGUUGCAGAGCGGUACCUCAAAUUACUCUGCCAGUACUCUGAAUGAAAAAGUUUUCAGCUGAUACCUGAAACUUGGCAAAGGUUAGAUCUUCCUAUUGCUUGGUUGAAACAGCAAUAAAUGCAAAAAUAAGUUCCUUCCACAGUGAAAUGGGUGAGCUAUCAAUGAAACGAUCUGCAGCCUCUCUACUGGAUUUUAAAUUUAAAUGUUAUUAAAAGAAACCAACUGAUCUCCUGGCCUUCAUCCCCAGAGGGUACCUUCCACUGUCUGGUCUGCCUUUUUGCAAAGCAUGGUGGUGUCUCAGUCCCAACUGCCAUGUUUUCCUAUGUAAUUGCAGCAUGAUAAACAGAAUGUCAUCAUACAGAAAGAAGGGAGGCUGGGCCCAAGUGGUCUGCCAUCCCUUGCAACCAGCAGAGAAAAUGGGUCACAUCAACAAUGACAAGAAGGCAAAAAUUUCAUUAGACUUAUUAGAGAGUCUGGACAAGCCUGGAGUGGUCUACAGGCCACCUAUUAAAGAAUAAGGCUCUGAAUGGUAGGAUGAGAUACUCACAGUUUGCCAUCAGAGGAGGAGCCAUUCACCCAGGUCCAAUUCCGUGCAGGGAAUAAUGUGACUUCUAGUCCAAUCCACAGCAAUGAAUACCCUCUGCUAAUAUUCCCUAUAAAAGCCUGUAAGAAAUGCAAUAUAAUUGUUCUGUCAAUUUCUAGUUUCCCCCCACUGUGACAGGGAAAUAUAGCCAGAUCAAUAUAACUGGGCACUUGAGUAUUGCUCACAAAUAAUACUAAAAUACACUUCCAAACACACAACACAUUUGGUGAUAGGCAAACUGACUUUGUGCAAGGUUAAUGGACUAGCCCUGCUCUUGAAAUCCUGCUGUGUUGGCUGAUGGACCAUUGGCAGGUAGAAUGAAGAAAACUCUUUCCACCCACCCAAGAUACCUGUUGUCCACUAUACAUCUUCCUCUGCAAACUGAAACUUCUAUGGCUCAAUAUUCUAAAAGAAAAAUUUGGGUCGCUUCUGGCUAAAAGCUAGAAAGAGCACAUCUUAGAGCAAAUCCAAGGUGGGGAUGGAAGGAAGGACAUCAAGUUGUGCCAAAGUAAAUCCAAUUUGGUCUGCCAAAUAUGGAGGAAGAGAACUGUAGCCCUCUGACAAAUUUGCUUUACCUCUUGCCGAUAAAGUAAUUCCCAUCCAUUCCAACAUUUUUCCAGUUUGAAAAGUUUCCAGUUGUAUUACAGUUAGAGAGCAGUAACAACCAUCAUGCCCACAACAUUAUCUUGUCCAGUUUUUAGCCUACUUUCCAGUAGACCUAUGAGAUCACCCAGCAUUCUGAGUGAGUGUGUGUGUAUGUGUGUGUUAAAGUAAAGUUGUGCCAUCAAGUCGGUGUCAACUGGCAACCACAGAGCCAUGUGGUUUUCUUUGGUAGAAUACAGGAGAGGUUUACCAUUGCCAUCUGCCAUGUAAUAUGAGAUGAUGCCUUUCACCAUCUUCCUAUAUUGCUGCUGCCUGAUAUAGGUGUUUCCCAUAGUCUGGGAAACAUACCAGCAGUGAUUCGAGCCAGUAACCUCUUGCUCCCUAGGCAAGUUACUUCCCCGCUGCACCAUUAGGUGGCUUGUGUGUGUGUUAGUCAGUCCCUGUCAAUUUCACAAUGCCUGAACCAAUAAGAACCACAUUGGGUACAGCUGUAGGGACACCUCAACAGCAUAGUUUGUGAUGAAGUUACCCAUCCCAGUUCAAGAUGGCAGACCUGUAUACAUGUGAAGUGCAAGUGGGCUAACGUGAACAGCCUAACUGAUUUGAACCAAAUUUGCUACACCAAUAGGGACACAUAGGGAUGGUUCAAGGGCAUAGUUUGUAAUGAUGUCAUCCACCCCAAUUCAAGAUGGCGGAUGCAUGAAUGUUUGAGGCACAAAUGGCCUAACUUGUGAACGGCCUGAUAUGAGCCAGAUUUAGUCAAGUGGUAGGGAUAGUGAAAGGAAAGUAGGCAGAUUAGUUCUUAGAACAACUUGGUCUGGAUUCUUUUCAGAUUUCUGUGUCUGAUGGUGUGGAAAACUGUGGCUGACCACCUGAUUUCUGGACCUUUGCAAUCAUGGCUGAUUAACUCAGUAAAUGUAAGCCACAUGGAAUGGGUAACAAAGACAAAGAAUGCCCCCUUAGUGGAGAUGGUACUUGUUUGAAGUGAGAAUUUCUGAAGCAUUGCUCUUAACACCGCAGUAACCUCUUCUGGCCACUAGAGGCAUGAUGAACAUAGGAAGCAGCCCUAUUUUGGAGAAGCUGGGAGUGGAACUUGAAACCUUCUGCUCUUCCAAGAGCAGCUCCAUCCCUUGAGGGGAAGAUCCUGCAGUGCUCAUACUUCUAGUCUCCCAUUCAUAUACAACCAGGGUGAACCCUGCUUAGCUAAGGGGUUAAGUAAUGCUUGCUACCACCAGACCAGCUCUGUUCUACAGACUAGCUCUCCUCUCCAUGGGAUGUUAAUAGGUCUGGCUUGGUCAGAGGCAGUUAGACCUGAUCAGAUGUUGUUGAAGGCUUGUGCCUGUUUAGGUGUGUUGUUCAAUGUCUCUCUCUCAGUGUGUGGUGUUUAGUUUGUUAAUAAAUCUUCGUUUGUUUUUUGAACACAACCUACUGAAGCUCUUCUCACAAUUGGUGAGAAGAGCUUCCUCGAGGUCUGCAGGGAGAGCAGGUUUGCCCAACCCUUCCCACAGAUGAUCACUUAGUCUUCCCUGGAUAGAUGGACCACCCACCCAGAUGAGUGGCGGCUGUCCUGCCCGUGCCUCACCCAGCCACUCUGAGGGUUGGGCGCAGGGAAGCACCGCCAUGUGGCACCCCACCCCCAGGAGCCCCAAUAAAGCACCACACAAGUGCGCAGUGCAUUACUGGGAUCCCCCCUCCCCCCGAAUGUGUCCACCACAUCUGCAAGCAGCCACGGCAGACACACGAUUGAAAAAAUGAGGGUAAGGGAGCACUAACUCCCUUAACUCCAUUUAAGCAGGAGGCUAUGUCGGCUGGUUUGCUGCCGUGUGGCCACCGGGAUCCUGGUGGUUCACACAAGCGUUCAAAACCAGGCUGGGCUCCCUACCCUCAGCCCAGUUCUGCACGCUAUUGUGAACAGCCUCACUGUCUCCAGAUAAUCUCUUGGGCUAAACCUCUUUACCACCAGAGCAUAAUCUGCUCUGUGAGCAUUUUAAUGUUUCUCCUCACACCCCUCAACAGUACAGCCUCUUGAGUCUGUUGUAAGACCUUCAGUUUGGCACUGAAACUGCUUUAGUUGCUUGGUUGAUGGUUUAUGCUGGGACCUGGACAGGAGAAGCUCAUCCUUGUUGCUUCUUCCAGACUUCUCAGUGACUUUAGAUAGCAUCAACAAACAACAAACUCUGAUGCCAGUUUCAUCUCUCUCUCUCUCGUACAUGGUGAUUUUAAACAGGGUUUUAAAAAUUGUACUUUAUUACU